CUUCUGAUGCUUGAAUUGGUUCUGCAUAAUUAUAGCCAGCCAUUUUACUAAUUUUUUUUUUUAUACUAUUGUUGCAGUAUGGUUGGUUAAUUAGGACUGGUUUUUGCAAAAAUGCUUUUUCUCUCUAAACAUUCAUAGCUGAGUUUGAUUGUUAUGCUUAUGCACUAAAGAGUGAGUAUCCCAGCUGAUCAGGCAAAAAUGGGCUUGGGGAGGGUACAAUUGGUGUUCUGACAUUGGUUGAUAUUUAUGGAAAGUCGGGGAGGUUUGAUGACGCAAUUGAGUGCUUGGAUGUUAUGAAGUCUGCAAGGUCGAAGCCGCCUUCCACAAUGUACAAUGCCUUGAUUAAUGUCGAUGCGCAGAAGGUAUGUUGCUUGUUGCCUUGAUUAAGCAAUUUACUUUGAGUGAAUAUGUAUAUACUUUAUUGCUUUGGCAUGGCCAUAAUAGGAUAAGAUUAUAGGCAUCCUAUGUUAUUUGUGUCCUGCAUAUAUCAAAACACGUUUAUAUUGUUAGCAGCAUCUUCUAUACCUGUACCCUUUUGAGGAAGUGUGAGUAACCUAAGACAAGUCAAACAAGCAGUAGCAUUUGAGGUGAUCAUUGACACUCUUUGCCUUACAAUAUUGCGUAAACUAUGAGAUGGCUUAAACUCUUGACGGGAAGAUUUUAAUUGCCAAUGUUGGUGACUCAAAGGCCCUUUUAUGCACAAAGAAAAUCCAGUCUGGUCAGGGUAACUUGACAGCCAGUCUUUCAGCUAAUGAACUAACAGAAGAUCAUAGUCCAGGUAGAGAUGAUGAAAGAGCUCGAAUUGUAGUAGCUGGUGGUAUCGUUGUCACUCUUUGGGGUAAGCCUUGGGUCAAUGUUGAACUUCCUAUGUCCCGAGCCAUUGGUGAUGUGUACCAAAAGAGACUGUCAAGUACUUCAACAAUGAAGCUUUUGAAGCUGAUCAAUAUGAUGAGUACUUAAAGGGUAUGAAGAUGCUGCUUUAAAAACACAACGUAGCCUUGCAUAUUUGAACUUCGGCCAAAAUGUAAUAUUUAGCACAGCUCUUUCAAUAGCUAUGGUGUUAUGUUCAAAUGGAAUUAUGAAUGGCGAGAUGACAGUUGGUGAUUUGGUCAUGGUGAAUGGACUUCUCUUCCAAUUAUCUCUUCCACUGAAUUAUCUUAGCAGUGUUUAUCGUGAGACCAUAUAGAGUCAUGUUGAUAUGAAGUCCAUGUUUCAGUUGCUGGAGGUAUUUCUCAAGGAACUUCCUACAAUUCUCUUGCAGUUUAAUUAUCCUGGGUUUUAUAGUUCGUUUAUUGUUGCAUAAUAUUGUGUUAGUUUGGAUUUUCUUUCAUCUUAGUAUGUGUUUUUUCCUUGAGAAAAUGACUUGUAAUUUCUUCAUGGAGAUCAAGAUUCAUUUUUUCAUACGGACUUCAUUGUAUGACAAUUUUUCAAUCAAACACCUCAACCAUUUAACAAGUGCAUGAUUAAUUGGUUUGUCUAUUUCCUUGCAAUUCUUAAUGCAAGGGAAAGUUGGUGGCUAUGCAUCAGUCUUUGAGAAAUACAACGAGAAGGCAGAAUCCUUUAUUUGAGACCCUUUAAAUAUUAGUACAUUAGGUUGUUUUGCAUUGAAAUAGAAUAAUAUUAAGAUUAGGAUUUUGAUCAUGCAUGGUUCUUGUACUGAUUCAUUCUUCUUCUUCUUCUUCUUCCUUUUUUUUUCUCCUUUAUCUAGUUAAAAUACUAAGUUCCUUUAUGUUAA